rnacentral:misc_RNA from 1 species
UCUCCGUAGGUGAACCUGCGGAGGGAUCAUUACAGAGUUCAUGCCCUACCGGGUAGAUCUCCCACCCUAUGUUAUUAUUACUUUGUUGCUUUGGCGGGCCGUUAGGCUCCGGCCCGACUACCGGCCCCGGCUGGUAAGCGCCCGCCAGAGGACCCAAAACCCUGAAUAUUAGUGUCGUAUGAGUACUAUAUAAUAGUUAAAACUUUCAACAGCGGAUCUCUUGGUUCUGGCAUCGAUGAAGAACGCAGC